ACCGGUUAAAUUUUUGCUUGUUUUCUGAUUGUGACUGAGAGAUAUCUUUGUUCAUGAAGCAACAUGACCGAAUAUUGCAUGAUAAUGGAGAAAAUGCGUGAGUGAGACUGGGUGUCAGCUGAGAGGUGCGUUUGAAGUGGAGUGUAAAUUGCAUAAAUGUGUGUCAAGGGUGCAUUUUGAUACCCAUCUGAGACAAACAGGCUCAUCAUUUACGUGAUACAGAAAGGUGUUUGAUUUUUUUUCUUGUCUCAUAAUUCGCUUUCUCAUGCUGUCUUACCAAUGUGUACUUCUCUAGCUUUACUUUUCUCUUGCAUUUCUGUGUUUAUGUAUGCUGCGUGCACAUUUUUUUUCCCCCACUUGACACAUGUUAAACGACACAACAUUAAGCCAAAAGGGUGACAACCACGAAUAAGUGUCAGAUUCAAUCAAUUUCCCUUGGAGCGAGAAGAAAAAUAGAAGGUGAAGUUGGACCCCCAUGAACUUUUUGGAACAUAAAUCUAAAAUGAAAUUUGCGGUAUAUUUAAAAAAAAAAUCAAAUCGACCAGAUCCUGCAGAGUAAAGCCAAUGGCUGGACCAUGUCUGAGCUGGCCUCCACAAGAAGACAAUGAACCUUCCAGAAAUCCUGUUUUCCUGAAGAGUGCUUUGAUACACUGGAGCCUAUUCCAGGAGCACAGGGCAUGAGGUGUAACUGGGAGCACACAGCAGCUCCCAAAUUUCACAAUUUGCAAAAUUCACUAAAGCAGGGUUUAUUGAUUGUUUACGAGGAAGAUGAUACAGUGCUUAAAGGUAACUCAUUCUGCAAAUACAUCAUACUAUUAUUACAUAACAAAAUAAUAUAAAUAAAGAGGCUUUCUUUUUUUGAUACAUUAAGUCCUGUUGCAAUCAAAUGUUCCUCAAUGGACACUUUUGUUUGACAAAGAAAUCGUUUUCUGCCCUGGCCGUGUUUGAGCAUGUUUUUAGAAAAAAUCUCUAACCUGCUUUUAAAAGCUAUUAUUUAUAUUUUAAAUUCAAGAGAAAGGGAAAAAUAAACUCUCCAAAAGCUCUCUAAUGGGACUUUUUACAACCAGAAUUCUGCAGGAACUUUUGGCCAAGGUGAAUGCAAAUAAAGGAAAGCUACAUUUCUCAUUUACUGGUAACAGGGAGUAGUUCAAAAGUAUUUUUGUUUCUCAUUUCUUUACCAGACCUCUGAGGUCUGGAAGGCUGCUCAGACACUUUAGGCAUGUAUCAUUUUUUGAAAUUAUAAUAAACGUGUUAAAGAUUAAUAUUUAUAAAAGAUAGAAUAUCGCUGAAAAUGUUGGAUUCUUUUUAAUUAGUUUGAAUUAUUAAUGAUCAUUCCCCCAAAAAUGAUAAUAAUUACCAUUAUUAAAGGGCACACAGGAGAGAGCAAUGGGAAACAGGAGAAUUUAUACUGUAGACAGUAGCUUUAGCAGUGUAUUCUUUUUAUUUUAGUUUAAUUAUUAUUUACAAACUUUUACCAUAUGGUACCCGGGAGCUCAUUUCCAAAGCAACACAUGGAUUUGGGAGAGGAUUCUCAGACAGGAAGUUGUUCGGCAAAUAGUGACCUGCUAACCUUAUGGAGCCAGACAGAUCCUUUACCUGCCGAAUGAAAUGAAAUUCCUGUCAAUAGCAGGAGUACAGGGUUGCAGGGAGCCUAUCCUGGCAAGCAACAACUG